CAAACUACACCAGGAUGGACAAUCACCCUCACAGCCAUGGACUGCCACGUCAGGAUCGACAGUCGCCCGGAUCACAAGUAAGGCGGAGUAGGAGGCACUAACGCCACUUCGGAUCCCCGGUUUCGCACUUCUCCCGUCCUCCUCAUCAUCCAUCGGUUGGCGUGGUCCCUAGCGGCCGCCUCUACCGCGUCUCCCUCUUUAGGAGGCAGCGCCAGCGGAGGGACAGCAGGAGGCGCGGUUGGCGGCACGGGAGCCCGCUCGCCACCCCGCGGCGCUAGCCGUUGGACCCUCUCGAUCCGCGGUUGCAGCUCAGCGACGUCUUCGACGAGCGGGCCUUCCGGCAGAAGCAGCUGCUGCUGCAGAAGAGGUUCCGGAGGGAGCGGAGGCUUGUCCGGGCGAGGUAGUUCUAAGAACUGGUCUCCCACGUCAGAGACCUUGCACUUGACCUGCGACGGUAAAGACGUCGACGAGCUCGGGCAUGCCUUUUUGCGGUCCGACUUCGACGAGUUGCUCGACGUCUCGACGCACGUGUCCUUCAGUGCUUCCUCGACCUCUUGUGGCGUUCUCAAAAGGUCGACGUGUACCUUCUCGACGCCCGUUUUGUUCUCCUCUAGCGGUUCUCUCUAUCACUAUAGUUCCACAACCUUCGUUAUUAUGCUUGGGACUCAUCGUUUCUACUAUCGCCUAGGUCGCUCAUUAUUGGUAUGUGACCCUCGUAAACCCGUAAGAGUAACUACGAAAGCACAAGUUCGUAGGGCCGUGUAUAAAUAGCUGAGGUACAUUCGUGAAGUUAUGAGUCUACUAACAUAUAACAAAAGUGUUCUAGCUUGUGAGUCUAUCAGCGAACGUUACCAUACGACAGUAGGACAAUGAAAUGUACAACUAUUAACCGGUACUUAUAGUUCGUCUUUGACAACCGUGAUUAGACUGACAACUCAUCUUCGUAGGUUUAACCUGUUAAAUGUCAAUAGCGGACAGGGCCCUCAUACUAAGGAUCCAUAAGCUGCCGUUUAAGUACUACCCAUAUAAAAAGAAAUAAUAAAUGAGGUAGG
rnacentral:rRNA from 1 species